CUGAUCAUCACUAUUGAAAAUUAGUUACUCACAAAAUACCUGUUUACCUGUUUUUAUUUAUUUCUAUUUCUACUUGUUUCUAGGAUAUGUCUUAUUUAGUGUAGGUGAUGAGGUAGAGAGUGAACACAAAACCAAGUGGUAAAAAUGUGAUGAAACUCAAGCAAAAUAUGGCAACUACAAGCAAUGUGAUUAAUUCCUCCGGAUCAUAACUUAUGUUAUAUACCAUGCUUCAAGAAAUUAUGUUAUCCGAUGCACCCUCUUUA